UGUCUUUCUCAUAAUGACAUCCUCAGUUUUAUGCAUUUUUGUUAAAUUUAAACAAUGCUUCCUAUGAAUGGAUCAUGGAUUUACACCAAACUAAAUUUGUAACUGAGGAAGAAAAUAUGAUAUUAUGAUCUCAUCAUCUGGUGGAAAUAUUUCUAAGAAAGAGGAAGAUGGGAAGAGAUGAAAAGCCAACUAGAGGGAAUUAACCUCAACUAUGUCUGAGUUUCUCCGCUGGGGGCUUCACAUAUGUGGAAGCUUAAUAUCCUCACUACAAUACUACGAGGCCUGUGUUAUUAGCCCCUUUCACAUAGGAGAAAGCUGUUUCCAAAAAGAGAUUUUGGUCAGCCCACUGUUACGCAAAAUUGACAGAGCUCAGGAUUUUAAAACCACUCCUGAGUUCCUAAAAGCUGAAGGUCUUUCCACUGGUAAGUGAAAACAGGCCAGGAAAAACCAAACUGAUUUAGCUGUCUCUGUAGAAAAUGGAUUAUGAAGAGAACAUCUUCCAUGAAUAUCCCCAGAAAUACCUCUCAUUAUCGGAGGAACCCACUGAGCAUGUCCAUCUUCAUCAGUGUGCUAUGGUGAGACCAGGGCAUCUGAGGAUGGUCUGAAAUGAGGAAGACUCAGGCCAACUCUGCCUUGCUCAACUCAAAUAUGGGUUCUAAGAGUGAUUUUGAAGGUUCUACCAGAUUUUCUACAUAGACGAUCAUGUUAUCUAUUCUCUAUACAGGCUGACCCCUAUGGCCUACUAAGAAUGAAUAAUUAAAACUCUAGGAAUCCCAGGGUUUGUUGGAGUUCAGGGUUGUCGCUGAGUGGUGGAAAUAUUGUUCUCAACCAAAAAAAAAAAAAAAAAUGUGGGGAUUACAUGCCAGUACCAUCCACCCCUGCAUUAGAAGUUUUCAUCGAAGAGCUUCAUUUCACAAGCUUUCAGCGUUGAUCUCACCUCCUCGAAGAUGACACAUCUGAUCCCUCUGUCUAAAAUAACAUCUUUAACAUUAAGAAAUCUCAAGUUUUCCAUUUGAGAAAUCUUCUGGAUUCUGCAUUCCAGUGGUUCCACUGAAGCCAGUAGGGCUGAAUACCCCAUGUAGGAACAGACUCAGCACAAGAAUGUAGGUUCUACAUUCUUAUCAUUUCAUUCCCCAUGCCCUAACCAAUCAGUGAUCCCAAUUCCUCAGCCCACUAUUCUCCAAAAUUUCCUUAAAUAUGCCCAUCCAAAACCCCUCAGGGAAGCAGAUUUGAGGUUCCCUUCAGUUCCCUUCUUUGGUUGCCCUAUGAUUAUUAAACUAUUUCUCUAC
rnacentral:lncRNA from 1 species